rnacentral:RNase_P_RNA from 1 species
GCUACAAGCCAGGCUAUCGCUUCUUAUUUAUUUAGGAGGAGGAAAGUCCGGACAGCACAGAGCAAUGCACCGGUGAAUAGCCGGGUCUUGAGUAAUCAGCAACAGAAAGUGCCACAGAAAAUAACUACUCCGCAAGGAGAAAAGGUGAAAAUGUGAGGUAAAAGCUCACAGUUUGUAUGAGUAAUCAUAUUUACGGGUAAACCUUGCAUGCUGAAAUGCCACAUAUACCAUCGCUUGAGAACGGCUCGUUCGAUGAUGGAGGGUAGGCAGCUUGAUUCCGAUUGGCAACUUUCGGAACAGAUAAAUGAUAGCCCACGACAGAAUCCGGCUUACGGCUUGUAGCUUUU